rnacentral:rRNA from 1 species
CCUACGGGUGGCAGCAGUGGGGAAUAUUGCACAAUGUGGGAAACCCUGAUGCAGCGACGCCGCGUGUGCGAUGAAGUAUUUCGGUAUGUAAAGCUCUAUCAGCAGGGAAGAAAAUGACGGUACCUAACUAAGAAGCCCCGGCUAACUACGUGCCAACAGCCACGGUAAUACGUAGGGGGCAAGCGUUAUCCGGAUUUACUGGGUGUAAAGGGAGCGUAGACGGUUAUGCAAGCCAGAUGUGAAAGCCCGGGGCUCAACCCCGGGACUGCAUUUGAAACUGUAAGGCUAGAGUGUAGGAGAGGCGGGUGGAAUUCCUAGUGUAGCGGUGAAAUGCGUAGAUAUUAGGAGGAACACCAGUGGCGAAGGCGGCCUGCUGGACGGUAACUGACGUUGAGGCUCGAAAGCGUGGGGAGCAAACAGGAUUAGAUACCCGUGUAGUC